AGGAGGCCGGGCCAUGGGACCGGCUCUCCGCGGCUGGAGGGCGAUCGGGGGCUGCGGAACCUGCUGAUGGCCUCUCCGAGUGUCCCCCACCCCCAGUCACCCUCCAGGCCAGCCGCGGUCCCUCAGGAAAUAAGGCUCUCCAGACCCCAGCAGACCUUGGCCGAGACCCUUUGGUCGGGAGCGGAGGCAGCCAGGCUCGGUUCGGAAAGAAUAAAGGAACAGGCUCUCUCCGGGGGCCGCCCCUCCUCGGCCGGGUGCGGGGACGCGUGGCGCAGGCAGCAAGGCUGUCUAAACAAGCAGGGGCUGAGCCGCACACCAGGCGCCACACUCAUUAAACAGGGGGCCCGCCGCAGGGCUAAUCUGACAGGCCGCCUCCAGACGCCCGGGGGCUGCAGGUGGACGGGGCGCCUCGGGCGUGCGCGCGUCUCGGAGAGACCGGGUGGUCCGAGGAUCCCGGAGCCAUGCGCUGGCGACAUGGGACACCAAGGACCUGCCAGGCAGCAUGGCCAGCCUCAAGGAACCAAGGGCAGCUCUGCUCACGAAGCAAUGUCACCUACCAGAUGAGUGUCUGAUGCCUCCUCAAACCGCGUCCUCCCAGACCUCCCAGUACAGCCAGGGACUGACUCCACUGGCCCAGGGCGUGCGUCUUGGCCACCGCUCCAGAGAAAUGGCGAACCGUCGUCAGCUAUUGAACGAGUGAUAAUAGAAUCCAGGAGGUGGAAAUUACAAGUCGAAAAGUAAAAUCGAUGCCCUUGACUGUGACAUGUCUGCCUGCCUGGCGACGAACUGUGCGCACUCAGCCCCCUCCCUCCCCACCGACCCUUAAGAUGCUCACCCGUUCAGAAGUUCCUUGAGGGCAGGAAGCAUAUUUCCAUGGUGGAUAAUCAUAUCAUGUCAGAGUAGAAAAGGGCCUGAGACAGCUUCCAGCACCAGAAUGGCAAAUGGGUUUCAUUUUGGUGCCAGCUCCAAUUGGUGAGUGAUAGCUGCCAGAAGCGCCGGGCUGGGCAGUUUUCUGUAUGUCUCUGGGCUCUGGCCACAAUCAAUUAGCCACUCUUACCCAGGGCACGAGGUGGCCUGGAGAGAGCGCUUUGCUCUGAUUAGCCAACCUCCACUUGUCCCACCUGACAGAUGAGGCAAGAACUGCUCCCCUUCUCUGUCCCCAGCCAUACCCCACCAUAUCCCUGCCCCCUAGCAGCCAUCCCCUACCAGGCCAAGGGGUCUUAAGUAGUAUUCAAGGGUCUAAUGAACUUGGAUGAGAGCGGGGUUACAUCUUCAGUGUCACCAACCUCUAAAUGAAGACAAGCACUUCCUUCCAUUACAUACCAUAGUAACAUCAGUGCCACCUCUGACUGUCACCAGUAGAAACUAUAGCUAUCUUCAAAGCCCAUGAUAGCUCUUACCACUAUCUUCCAAAGAUUGCUUCCACCCCUUCACUAGUACGAAAUGAUGGUAGUUAUUAGAUCUGCCACUAAAUCUUGUUAUUUAACGCAUUAAUAAAGAAGC